GAUGAACGCUGGCGGCGUGCCUAAUACAUGCAAGUCGAGCGAACGGACGAGAAGCUUGCUUCUCUGAUGUUAGCGGCGGACGGGUGAGUAACACGUGGAUAACCUACCUAUAAGACUGGGAUAACUUCGGGAAACCGGAGCCAAUACCGGAUAAUAUUUUGAACCGCAUGGUUCAAAAGUGAAAGACGGUCUUGCUGUCACUUAUAGAUGGAUCCGCGCUGCAUUAGCUAGUUGGUAAGGUAACGGCUUACCAAGGCAACGAUGCAUAGCCGACCUGAGAGGGUGAUCGGCCACACUGGAACUGAGACACGGUCCAGACUCCUACGGGAGGCAGCAGUAGGGAAUCUUCCGCAAUGGGCAAAAGCCUGACGGAGCAACGCCGCGUGAGUGAUGAAGGUCUUCGGAUCGUAAAACUCUGUUAUUAGGGAAGAACAUAUGUGUAAGUAACUGUGCACAUCUUGACGGUACCUAAUCAGAAAGCCACGGCUAACUACGUG
rnacentral:rRNA from 1 species